UACGUAGGUGGCGAGCGUUGUCCGGAUUUAUUGGGCGUAAAGGGCGCGCAGGUGGUGCGGUAAGACUGCCGUGAAAUCUCCCGGCUCAACUGGGAGGGGGCGGUGGAGACUGCCGGACUAGAGGCACUCAGAGGCCGGUGGAAUUCCCGGUGUAGUGGUGAAAUGCGUAGAGAUCGGGAGGAACACCAGUGGCGAAGGCGGCCGGCUGGGGGUGACCUGACGCUGAGGCGCGAAAGCGUGGGGAGCAAAAGGG
rnacentral:rRNA from 1 species